ensembl:antisense Gm12930 predicted gene 12930
CGUGGGUCGGGGUUAGGGAUUCCAGAUGGGGCUGAGUCGCAGCUGAGUUGCAGCUGGGAUGCAUGGGCAAGGCUGGAUACAUAGAUCUCUUCUAUGGACACAUAGACACACAGAUCCUGUCCUGAAGAAGUAUACACCAUGGAAAGGUGACACCACAGGUUGUUAUCCUGGAGCACACAGUGGAAGGGGAGACAGAGGAGGACAAUGACUUGUCUUAAGUGGUCAAGAAAGACUUCGUGGAGAAGUUGAUAAAGAAGCUACCCCGUGAAAGGGACCAGAAGGCCAAGGGAGUGUUUCAGCCUGUACAGUGCUUACCUUGAAGGCAUGAAGACCUAAGGCUCUGGACAUGGUGGUAGAGGUAGACACUCGGCAUGGGAGAAACAAAGACAGGCAGAUCUUGGGGGCUUGGGUCCAGCCAGCCUAACUCAUUUGGUGGGCUCCAGAUCAGUGGUAAAUCCUGUCUCAAAAAACCAAAGUGGAUGAUAUCCCAAGAAAUGGAUCCCAAAGUUGACCUCUUGCUUCCACACACAUGUUCACACCCACGUACAUAUGUAUACCCCCUCCAGCACACAUACAGAUGCAUCACACAUACACUAACCAUCCUCUGGCUCCUCUGGACAUCCCUUCAGACAUCCUGGCAGAUAUACCCUGAGACAAAGGUGUAGGGACAGUGGAG